rnacentral:pre_miRNA from 12 species
ACACAUACACACUUAUAUGUGUGUGUGUGUGUGUAUAUAUAUACACAUACACACUUAUAUGUGUGUGUGUGUG